UUAUAUAUACCCCUAUCAGUAUGUCUCAGAAUGUUUGUUGUUGGGCUUGAAUGCCUUUAAACUUAAUACAACUUUCAACAACGGAUCUCUUGGCUCUCGCAUCGAUGAAGAACGCAGCGAAAUGCGAUAAGUAAUGUGAAUUGCAGAAUUCAGUGAAUCAUCGAAUCUUUGAACGCACCUUGCGCUCCUUGGUAUUCCGAGGAGCAUGCCUGUUUGAGUGUCAUGAAAUUCUCAACCUUUUCAACUUUUUCUGUUGAUCAGGCUUGGAUGUGGGAGUAUGCGGGCUUCUCAGAAGUCGGCUCUCCUGAAAUGCAUUAGCGGGACCUUUGUUGCCUGGCUUUGGUGUGAUAAUUAUCUACGCCAUUGUGAAGAGCAGCUUUAUAAAGGAGGUUCAGCUUCUAAUCGUCUCUUUCGAGACAACUUCUGACAAUUGACCUCAAAUCAGUAGACAGCCGAGU
rnacentral:rRNA from 1 species